AGACUGACUUAGACUUAGGAGAGGGCUG
rnacentral:piRNA from 1 species